rnacentral:lncRNA from 1 species
CUAAUCCCUUCUCCCCUUUAUUCUUUCUGUCUAUCUGAUUCAAUCACUUCUCCAAGUCGUUUCCGCUGGAUUCCUAUACCGCCCUUGGAUUUACCAACAAUCGCUUUGUUUUCAAACUAAACCCCAGGUAGUUCCAAUAUAUGUUGCUGUAAUACGUACUAGAACUUAAAAUUUCUACGCGGCCUCUUUUCGCCGAAAGUAAAACCAAAAAAACAAGCAAGAUGAAGAUGUCAACAUUGAUUCUGUUGCUGGCCUUCUUUCUCAUCAUGAUGAUGUUAUUGCUGCUGACUCUGAUGAUAGGAAUUAUAAUGAAGGUUUUCUACAUGGCUUCAGAAUAAUAACUCAUAUAGGUUUCUGUCCAUCAACUACAACCAAUGUUCUUUACUUCCAGCAUCCUUGGUUUCUUGCCAGAAUUAUCCGUGUAAUUUCUGUCUCUUUCCAGCUUCAGAAGAAAUAUUUUCAUGAUACAGCAUUCAGUUCUUUGAAACAUCGAAAUUCAGGAGCUCAGAAGCCCCAAUAUCUUCCAGAGAACAUGGUUAUGCAAUGGUGAUUGGCGUCAAACAUCUCCUGAAAACUACUAAUCACAUGGAUAAAAGGUCCUUUCAUGUUAUCCCUACUAUCUUCAAUAUAUACUACGAAGAUCUAAAAGAAAGAAUCUAAAUAAAAUACAAUUAAUUUUCCGAAAUAACAUUUAAAUCAAAUCUCCUAUAUUUUCAUUGACUGCUGAGGGCGUGAUCCGUGCACAGAAGGUGCCACAAGAAAACGAUAAUCGCAUAAAGGUUUCGUUGUAUGUACAUAUUUUGGCGCUAGUCCACUUGUUUGUCGUCAUGUGAUUCGGAUGAUGAAACAGUAUGUGAUUGUUGGAAGGAUAAUAACGGAGUUAAUAGCAAGGCAAUUGUUUUCUUUUAAAUGAAGCAGGUUUGCACACCACACAUUAUUGACGAAACUCAAUGGAGAUCUCGACGUAGAAGAUUAUGAAGACGGGUAAAAUAGUCUGUUGGAUAUGUUGGAGCUAAUUAUCCCAAUAGUCAGACUAGCUACACUUCACAAAACGCUUCUAGUGUCAUUCCGUGUGUUCAAUGAGCCAGACUGUGGUUUCUGUGUACAAUCCACCCGAGGUCCCUCUUCACUUGCUGAAGUAAUUUUCAACCAUAAACCCCACGUUUUGAGAUAUGUAAGCUCCCUGCACAGUGUUUAACAGAUCUAUGAAAGCCCAAAGUGUUGACUGCUGUUUUAUGGAAACAUUGAAAAGUAGCCACAGAUGAAAUCUGAGUGUUAGAUGAUGCACCAAGGUGGAUGAUGUCAUAGCAACGUUUAUUCUUGACAAACUACACAAUCCAUACAAUACAUACACAAAAUGAUAUCGUUUUUAUAUUACAUAUCUCUUGUUGAGAGUAUGUGAUAAAUUUGUAUCGUGAACUUUACGAUGGAAAAAUUAAUUAAAAUGUUCCAUAAUAAAAUAACAUGUUGCUAUUUUA